ACACAUGCAGUCGAGCGGGCGAGGUUGCUUCGGUAACUGAGCUAGCGGCGGACGGGUGAGUAAAGCUUAGGAAUCUGCCUAUUAGUGGGGGACAACAUUUCGAAAGGGAUGCUAAUACCGCAUACGUCCUACGGGAGAAAGCAGGGGAUCACUUGUGACCUUGCGCUAAUAGAUGAGCCUAAGUCGGAUUAGCUAGUUGGUGGGGUAAAGGCCUACCAAGGCGACGAUCUGUAGCGGGUCUGAGAGGAUGAUCCGCCACACUGGGACUGAGACACGGCCCAGACUCCUACGGGAGGCAGCAGUGGGGAAUAUUGGACAAUGGGGGGAACCCUGAUCCAGCCAUGCCGCGUGUGUGAAGAAGGCCUUUUGGUUGUAAAGCACUUUAAGUGGGGAGGAGGCUCUCUUGGUUAAUACCUGAGAAGAGUGGACGUUACCCACAGAAUAAGCACCGGCUAACUCUGUGCCAGCAGCCGCGGUAAUACAGAGGGUGCGAGCGUUAAUCGGAUUUACUGGGCGUAAAGCGCGCGUAGGUGGUUAAUUAAGUCAAAUGUGAAAUCCCCGAGCUUAACUUGGGAAUUGCAUUCGAUACUGGUUAGCUAGAGUAUGGGAGAGGAUGGUAGAAUUCCAGGUGUAGCGGUGAAAUGCGUAGAGAUCUGGAGGAAUACCGAUGGCGAAGGCAGCCAUCUGGCCUAAUACUGACACUGAGGUGCGAAAGCAUGGGGAGCAAACAGGAUUAGAUACCCUGGUAGUCCAUGCCGU
rnacentral:rRNA from 2 species